GAGAAUUUAUAACUCGACGAAACAAAUUCGUGUUAUUCACGACUGAUUCCACAACAAUUUACCUCUGCUUGCUCGUUUAAAAUGUUAUUAAAUGCGACUUAGAAACGUACUAGUCACGAUACGAUAUCAAAACGAAGAAGAAUCAGACAAGGACACAUCCGCUCCAAAAUUACAUCGCUCUCAAUGAACACGUCGUUGGCUCCGUUCGUCCAUUUCUCUAACGAUUUCAGGAAUUUUUAGACAAGAGGUUCGCGAUCCGUAUCUUUCAUCGUCAUGCUGCAUCGUGCGUCAUCCGGAUCGCAGCGCAGAAAUGUUUGCUAAUUACGCAAGCAGCCGCGCCACUGGUUUCUAACGCGAGUUUCGAAUGUUUCGACGAGAAUUGGAGUCGGUCCACCGAUUCGUGGGAACCACUCGAAAUUCGAGGUCGUGGAUUUUACGAUUAUCGAUUGUCCAAGAGAUCUAGCGGGACAAAACUUAUGAGAUCCAAUAUUUCGAAAACUAUUAAGUCGUCCACAUACGAAGGUACUGAAAAAAACGUAAUUAGUUGCUGACUGAAAUCAAAAACUGAUUACUUAUUGUUAUUCCAACUAUCCACCGGGAGGAAACGGGACUGACUCUGUAAGUCCAGUUACACGAUCGCGUCAUGUCGUGAUUUCCAUUUACCUUCAUCCCUCUUAAUUCAAAUAAUUGAUUAACAGAGUCAGACAGAGGC